AUGUUUCAGUUAUUUAAUUCAACAAAUGACAAGACUAAUCUGUCAUUCACAAUGUUUUUGCAGUUAGCAUUAAAAGCUGGUGUGUUUUAUGACAGAGUGACAAAUAUGACUAUUUGGGGAAACCAUUCAACAACUCAGGUUCCUAAUUUCUUGAAUGCCAAAAUUAAUGGGAGGCCAGUAAAAGAAGUCAUCAAAGAUACAAAGUGGCUAGAAGAGGAUUUUCCUAUAACUGUUCAAAAGGUAGACGGAGAAGGUGGUGAUGCCGCCGAGGCUGUUGCUCCCGGUGUCAGAGAGGGUGUCGCUGACCGAUGCCGCCGGCUUGCCCGAGGUGGCCUGCACGUCUUCAUGACCAGCCAUCUCUCCAGGUUUAUUAGUUCAGAUAGAUACAGUAUAUAUGGUACAAAGAUGUUUUCCGAAAGCAACUCUGUUAUGCCGCUCUAG
rnacentral:rRNA from 1 species